AAGUUUUAAAGCAAGUCAAUACCAUUAGGUACCUGGGAGUGUGGUUUGAUGUAAAGUUAACGUUUAAGGAACACAUUCAGAAGAUGAUUGAGAAGUGCAAGAAGGGUAUUAAUGUCUUGAAAUGCUUAGCAGGGUACAACUGGGGAGCUUCAGGAACGUCCCUAAAAAGAAUUUAUAUUGCUCUGAUUAGAUCCGUUUUUGAUUAUGGAUGUAUUGUGUACAGAUCUACAUCAAAGACACGCCUUAACGAACUUGACAGAAUGCAGGCUAAAAGUCUCAGAAUAUGUUGUGGUGCAUUUAGAACUUCUCCUGUACCAGCGCUGCAAGUAGAGACAGGAGAAAUGCCAUUACACCUCAGGCGUCUGAAAUUGAGUAUGGCUUAUUGGGUCAAUUUAAAAGGACAUAACGCAUCUCAUCCUACUAAGGAGGUCCUUAAUGAAUGUUGGGAAUAUGGCAGGUCUCAGAUCUGUAGCUUUGGCUGGGAAGCUAACGGAUUAGCAAGUCAGUUGGAGAUAGAGGACAUAACAUGCAGUAAGACUUUGCCUCUGGCCACAACCUCACCUUGGUUAUUUAGUUCCCCUAGGGUGAUUAUAGAAACUAAAGAAAAUGUAGGGCAGUAUCUGAGUAUGUGCUACAAUACAACAAAAAUAUAUACAGACGCAUCAAAAGAUUGUGAGGGUAAGACUGGCAUAGGGGUGUAUAUUCCUGAAUCUGAUAUAUAUAUUAAAAAGAGGGCUACUGAUCAGUUAUCCAUUUUUGCAGCUGAAAUGGCAGCCAUCAUAACUGCAUUGCAAUGGCUAGAAGAGACUAGGCUCCCUAAAGCAAUCAUUUGUUCUGACUCAAUGUCAUCUCUCAGUUCUAUUCAAAAUGGAGAAUCAGCAUGUAGACAGGAUCUAUUGAAUGAAAUAAAUCAAAUCAUUUUUGCAAUUAAUCAACAGGGAAGGACAGUCCAGUUUGUGUGGGUUCCAGCUCAUAAAGGUGUUGAAGGGAAUGAGGAAGCAGACAAGCUGGCAAAAGAGGCAACGAAAGAAGAGGAGGUUCAAUUAAGCAUUCCACUCAGUAAGUCAGAGAUCAAGGUACUCAUAAAACAAAAAAUGAAUACAAUGUGGCAGUCUGAAUGGGAUAAGGAGAAAAAGGGUAGGCAUCUUUACAAAUUACAACAAGAAAUCGUAGGGAAAAAGAAUAGUUAUAUAAACAGACAGGAGGAGGUAUGGUUCUACAGAAUGAGGAUCGGUCACACUGCUCUUAACAGUAAUUUAUUUAUCAUGAACAAACAUCCAUCUGGAAAUUGUGAGGUUUGUGGAGUAAGAGAGGAUGUAGAACAUGUUCUGCUAAGUUGUGAAAGAUUUUCUAGACAGAGAGAAAAACUGAAAAGGACGGUUAGUGCAGAAAAAAGAGUUUUCUCCUUGGAAACGUUAUUGGGUGAGCCAAGAGCAGGAAGUAUUACUGGGU
rnacentral:lncRNA from 1 species